UACGGAGGAUCCAAGCGUUAUCCGGAUUUAUUGGGUUUAAAGGGUGCGCAGGUUGUUUGAUAAGUCAGUGGUGAAAGUCUGUCGCUUAACGGUAGGAUUGCCAUUGAUACUGUUAGACUUGAAUAUGGAUGAGGUAGGCGGAAUGUGUAGUGUAGCGGUGAAAUGCUUAGAGAUCACACAGAAUAUCGAUUGCGAAGGCAGCUCACAAAGCCAAGAUUGACGCUGAGGCACGAAAGUGUGGGGAGUCAAACAGGA
rnacentral:rRNA from 1 species